rnacentral:rRNA from 1 species
CCUACGGGAGGCAGCAGUGGGGAAUAUUGGGCAAUGGGCGCAAGCCUGACCCAGCAACGCCGCGUGAAGGAAGAAGGCUUUCGGGUUGUAAACUUCUUUUCUGAGGGACGAAGAAAGUGACGGUACCUCAGGAAUAAGCCACGGCUAACUACGUGCCAGCACCCGCGGUAAUACGUAGGUGGCAAGCGUUAUCCGGAUUUAUUGGGUGUAAAGGGCGUGUAGGCGGGAAAGCAAGUCAGAGGUGAAAACUCAGGGCUCAACCCGGAGCCUGCAUUGGAAACUGGUUUUCUUGAGUGCUGGGGAGGCAAUCGGAAUUCGGGGUGUAGCGGGGAAAUGCGGAGAUAUACGGAGGAACACCAGUGGCGAAGGCGGAGUGCUGGACAGUAACUGACGCUGAGGCGCGAAAGCGUGGGGAGCAAACAGGAUUAGAUACCCGAGUAGUC